rnacentral:rRNA from 1 species
GACGAACGCUGGCGGCGUGCCUAAUACAUGCAAGUAGAACGCUGAAGGAGGAGCUUGCUUCUCCGGAUGAGUUGCGAACGGGUGAGUAACGCGUAGGUAACCUGCCUGGUAGCGGGGGAUAACUAUUGGAAACGAUAGCUAAUACCGCAUAAGAGUAGAUGUCGCAUGACAUUUGCUUAAAAGGUGCAACUGCACCACUACCAGAUGGACCUGCGUUGUAUUAGCUAGUUGGUGAGGUAACGGCUCACCAAGGCAACGAUACAUCGCCGACCUGAGAGGGUGAUCGGCCACACUGGGACUGAGACACGGCCCAGACUCGUACGGGAGGCAGCAGUAGGGAAUCUUCGGCAAUGGACGGAAGUCUGACCGAGCAAAGCCGCGUGAGUGAAGAAGGUUUUCGGAUCGUAAAGCUCGGUUGUAAGAGAAGAACGAGUGUGAGAGUGGAAAGUUCACACUGUGACGGUAGCUGACCAGAAAGGGACGGCUAACUACGUG